rnacentral:rRNA from 1 species
UAAGUUUCAACAACGGAUCUCUUGGCUCUCGCAUCGAUGAAGAACGCAGCGAAAUGCAAUAAGUAAUGUGAAUUGCAGAAUUCAGUGAAUCAUCGAAUCUUUGAACGCACCUUGCGCUCCUUGGUAUUCCUUGGAGCAUGCCUGUUUGAGUAUCAU